rnacentral:snRNA from 1 species
GUGCUCGCUUCGGCAGCACAUAUACUAAAAUUGGAGUGACACAGAGAAGAUUAGCAUGGCCCCUGUGCAAGAGUGACACUCAAAUUCGUGAAGCAGUCCAUAUUUUA